rnacentral:rRNA from 1 species
UACUCCUGCUUAACACAAGUUGAGUAGGGAAAGUUUUUCGGUGUAGGAUGAGACUAUAUAGUAUCAGCUAGUUGGUAAGGUAAUGGCUUACCAAGGCUAUGACGCUUAACUGGUCUGAGAGGAUGAUCAGUCACACUGGAACUGAGACACGGUCCAGACUCCUACGGGAGGCAGCAGUAGGGAAUAUUGCGCAAUGGGGGAAACCCUGACGCAGCAACGCCGCGUGGAGGAUGACACUUUUCGGAGCGUAAACUCCUUUUCUUAGGGAAGAAUUCUGACGGUACCUAAGGAAUAAGCACCGGCUAACUCCGUGCCAGCAGCCGCGGUAAUACGGAGGGUGCAAGCGUUACUCGGAAUCACUGGGCGUAAAGGGCGCGUAGGCGGAUUAUCAAGUCUCUUGUGAAAUCUAAUGGCUUAACCAUUAAACUGCUUGGGAAACUGAUAGUCUAGAGUGAGGGAGAGGCAGAUGGAAUUGGUGGUGUAGGGGUAAAAUCCGUAGAUAUCACCAAGAAUACCCAUUGCGAAGGCGAUCUGCUGGAACUCAACUGACGCUAAGGCGCGAAAGCGUGGGGAGCAAACAGGAUUAGAUACCCUGGUAGUCCACGCCCUAAACGAUGUACACUAGUUGUUGGGGUGCUAGUCAUCUCAGUAAUGCAGCUAACGCAUUAAGUGUACCGCCUGGGGAGUACGGUCGCAAGAUUAAAACUCAAAGGAAUAGACGGGGACCCGCACAAGCGGUGGAGCAUGUGGUUUAAUUCGAAGAUACGCGAAGAACCUUACCUGGGCUUGAUAUCCUAAGAACCUUUUAGAGAUAAGAGGGUGCUAGCUUGCUAGAACUUAGAGACAGGUGCUGCACGGCUGUCGUCAGCUCGUGUCGUGAGAUGUUGGGUUAAGUCCCGCAACGAGCGCAACCCACGUAUUUAGUUGCUAACGGUUCGGCCGAGCACUCUAAAUAGACUGCCUUCGUAAGGAGGAGGAAGGUGUGGACGACGUCAAGUCAUCAUGGCCCUUAUGCCCAGGGCGACACACGUGCUACAAUGGCAUAUACAAUGAGACGCAAUACCGCGAGGUGGAGCAAAUCUAUAAAAUAUGUCCCAGUUCGGAUUGUUCUCUGCAACUCGAGAGCAUGAAGCCGGAAUCGCUAGUAAUCGUAGAUCAGCCAUGCUACGGUGAAUACGUUCCCGGGUCUUGUACUCACCGCCCGUCACACCAUGGGAGUUGAUUUCACUCGAAGCCGGAAUACUAAACUAGUUACCGUCCACAGUGGAAUCAGCGACUGGGGUGAAGUCGUAACAAGGUAACCGUAGGAGAACCUGCGGUUGGAUCACCUCCUUUCUA